rfam:Salmo salar isolate Sally breed double haploid chromosome ssa18, whole genome shotgun sequence.
AAUGCACCAAUUUGUAAGUCGCUCUGGAUAAGAGCGUCUGCUAAAUGAUUUAAA